rnacentral:rRNA from 1 species
AGUGAACGCUGGCGGUAGGCCUAACACAUGCAAGUCGAACGGCAGCACAGUAAGAGCUUGCUCUUACGGGUGGCGAGUGGCGGACGGGUGAGGAAUACAUCGGAAUCUACUUGUUCGAGGGGGAUAAAGUAGGGAAACUUACGCUAAUACCGCAUACGACCUACGGGUGAAAGCAGGGGAUCUUCGGACCUUGCGCGAUUGAAUGAGCCGAUGUCGGAUUAGCUAGUUGGCGGGGUAAAGGCCCACCAAGGCGACGAUCCGUAGCUGGUCUGAGAGGAUGAUCAGCCACACUGGAACUGAGACACGGUCCAGACUCCUACGGGAGGCAGCAGUGGGGAAUAUUGGACAAUGGGCGCAAGCCUGAUCCAGCCAUACCGCGUGGGUGAAGAAGGCCUUCGGGUUGUAAAGCCCUUUUGUUGGGAAAGAAAAGCAGCAGGUUAAUACCCCGCUGUUCUGACGGUACCCAAAGAAUAAGCACCGGCUAACUUCGUG